GGGAUAGUGAAGGGAAGAUUGCCAUCUUGGAAGAAGAGACUGAUACCACGGAAGCGGAAAAUGCCCAGUGACCUGGCCAGAGGGCCAAGCCACACAGACACAGCACCCUGAGUCACAGAGCAUGAGAGAGAGAAAGAGAGAGGAGCAGCAGCAGAAAGGGGCAUAGGAUUUCAGUGGAGCUAAUCCCCAGCAGUGGCCAGGAGGAGAUGCCAUCCAGCAGCACCAGAACGGGACACAGUAUUCCAGCAGUGGUUGCACUAGUGCCAAAUAAAGAGCAGCCCAAUGGCAUGUGGAGCCGAGCAUAGGUGUUGGGAGGAAAAGAGAGGAUCUGUUCUGGAGACAUGUAGCGCCUUCAGCCCAGUCCCAUAGAAUGCUGGGGAGGAGCCAGAGGCCCUUACCUUCAGGUGGCUAUUUAUUCCAUUGAAAGUAUAGAACAGUGCUGAGAUCAGCUCCCGCUUGCAGGCUGAUGUUUCAGUCUCCCUUGGUGUUGGACCAGAGUAGCCCCAGUCUGCGUACAGGCACCGGUGAUCUGAUUCCCUGUGAAUUGUGGGGCUCUCCAAUGGACGCAGUAGUGAAGAAGAAGGGCAGAGCAGUGAUUUCUUGUCUGUGUGUAUCCACUGGCCAUUCUUCCCUGUGGAGGGAGACCACACUCAUCAUGUGGGAUUGUACAGUUGGAAGACUGCAGUCAUGAAUACAGAGUGGCUCUGCUGCCACUCUGUGGGCUGAGGGUUUGUCCCCGCUCCCUGCUUCAGUCCCUGCAGAGACCCUCAGCAUGCGAACUAGCCAUUUGAGCUAUGUGCACUGUGAAUCCGACAGAAUAAACUGAGUAAAACAACUUGUUAAACCGCUCAUUAUAUCUGAUUUGAUUUCAUCAGCUUUGGAGGACAGUGAAUCACACCGUGCUUAGGAGCAAUGUGUCUCAAAUGCUCAUGGCUGUUAGGGUGCAAGCUAUUUCUUUCUCUCUCUGAUUAGAUUGUCAUGCAUACUGGUAAAUUGCAUUGUUUGUAGAUUAUAUUGUGUUCUUGCAGCAUAAUACUUGGACUGCAUCAUUUUAUACAAUAUGUUUAAAAAGAAGAGUUAAAAAAUAAAGGAUGGGCUGAUAUUGUUCCAAUGAUGCAUCUAAUGCAAUGCAAUGAUAAAUGCAUGUAGAAGUAAUGUGCCUGAGGAUGAUUUUGGGCACCAUGCAAAGGUCACUGUCUUCAGACUCUAAUUUCCCAGCAAAUGUGACAUUUAAAUUGUAUAUCAUUAAGAUCACAAGAAAUGUAUUUAUAUCCUCUGUUACUGGGAUCAUUUUUACACACAUUACAUGUUUGAUAUAUUAUGUGCUAUUUGGAUCACAGUGCAUUUACAUCAUAAUAUAAUGUCAUGUGCCAUCACCAAGACAUUGUGUGCUAGGCACAAAAUGUUACUCAUUUGCAAGUUGUCUUUGUAUGAGCUGUCACAAAGCAACUGGGUAGUGCCAACAUUAUUGGAGAUGUUUUAAAAAGGAUUGGGCAAAUAAUCCAAACCUGAACCAUGAAAAGGGGAAGUCGUAUUAAGAUAAACAUGUGUGUGCAUGCAUGCAUACAUAUGAACUGAGUGCUGAACCAUUUCUCCAGUGUUAGCUUUAAUGUAUACAACUCUCAUUGGAACUUAGUGUCCAAGAAAUGACGUUUCAACUCCUAUAGGAAUUGCACUUUUUUUUUUGGAACCAAUAAGAGGACUUGAAUUGCGCGUUUAAUGAGGCUGCUCAUUUAAUGUAUCUAAUUAGUAUUUUUUACCAUCCUCAUAUUUCUUUGAUUUAAAACAUUGUGUUUUAGCUUUGUAUACUUUAAAGCCAUUAUUAUUCAUCUAAGACAAACUGUAUUAUGGGAGGUCCUUUUUUGGUCCUGUUUAGUAUAUAUGAGUUGAUAAUUUCAACUGUCUGGAAGCAGGUUUAAAUAUGCUAGAAUUAU